AAUGCUGCCCACGUCAUACUAAUUGAGUGCCUACAAGGAUUGAAGUGAAUAGGAUGACCAAUAUCUAUCAAUCAUGCAGCUGUUCUCCCCUCUCCAUGGAAGGGACUGCACUGUACAUGCAGUACAAGACCUUGUUUCACACCUAACGCAACGCAGGGGGAUCCUCGGCAGCAUCAAGCAACUACGGCAGUGCUGGUGCCUGGAGACAUCCGUCUGUCUACGAAAGAAACUCGUCUCCCUUCGUGCCUCCGUCCUUGUUCCUGGAUUGGACUAGCAACCUGUUUCAGUUUGUGCUUUCCAUUUAGGCUAACCUCAGACGCUUGGUUUCCAGUUGAUUGGAAACAAGUGUGCUGGAAGCCGUCUGCUCUUUCUUCACUAUACAAUGUGGACUGCUGCCUGGCUCCAAUCUGGAAACAAUUAUUUCCCUCCUGUACCUACCCAUUCUGAAAAGGGAUUUACCCCUAGACUUUUUUUCCUCUUUGCACUUUUAUUAGCCGCUUCCUUCAUAAAUAAAAGCUUGCCGUUGUAUAUAAUGCCC